CACGUAGGCACCAAGCGUUGUCCGGAUUUAUUGGGCGUAAAGAGCUCGUAGGCGGUUCGGUAAGUCGGGUGUGAAAACUCUGGGCUCAACCCUGAAACGCCACCCGAUACUGCUGUGGCUAGAGUCCGGUAGGGGAGCGUGGAAUUCCUGGUGUAGCGGUGAAAUGCGCAGAGAUCGGGAGGAACACCCGUAGCGAAGGCGGCACUCUGGGCCGGUACUGACGCUGAGGAGCGAAAGCGUGGGGAGCAAACAGG
rnacentral:rRNA from 1 species